rnacentral:rRNA from 1 species
GUGGGGAAUUUUGGACAAUGGGCGCAAGCCUGAUCCAGCCAUUCCGCGUGCAGGAUGAAGGCCUUCGGGUUGUAAACUGCUUUUGUACGGAACGAAAAGCCUCUGGUUAAUACCCGGGGGUCAUGACGGUACCGUAAGAAUAAGCACCGGCUAACUACGUGCCAGCAGCCGCGGUAAUACGUAGGGUGCAAGCGUUAAUCGGAAUUACUGGGCGUAAAGCGUGCGCAGGGGGUGAUGUAAGACAGUUGUGAAAUCCCCGGGCUCAACCUGGGAACUGCAUCUGUGACUGCAUUGCUGGAGUGCGGCAGAGGGGGAUGGAAUUCCGCGUGUAGCAGUGAAAUGCGUAGAUAUGCGGAGGAACACCGAUGGCGAAGGCAAUCCCCUGGGCCUGCACUGACGCUCAUGCACGAAAGCGUGGGGAGCAAACAGGAUUAGAAACCCCUGUAGUCC